rnacentral:rRNA from 1 species
UACGAAGGGUGCAAACGUUGCUCGGAAUCAUUGGGCGUAAAGCGCACGUAGGCGGCUUCGCAAGUCGGAUGUGAAAUCCCACGGCUCAACCAUGGACGUGCAUUCGAAACUGCGAGCUUGAGUAUGGAAGAGGGUCGCGGAAUUCCCGGUGUAGAGGUGAAAUUCGUAGAUAUCGGGAGGAACACCAGUGGCGAAGGCGGCGACCUGGGCCAAUACGUGACGCUGAGGUGCGAAAGCGUGGGGAGCAAACAGGAUUA